rnacentral:rRNA from 1 species
GGAUUAGAUACCCUGGUAGUCCACGCCCUAAACGAUGUCAACUGGUUGUUGGGAAGGAAACUUCUUGGUAACGAAGCUAACGCGUGAAGUUGACCGCCUGGGGAGUACGGUCGCAAGAUUAAAACUCAAAGGAAUUGACGGGGACCCGCACAAGCGGUGGAUGAUGUGGAUUAAUUCGAUGCAACGCGAAAAACCUUACCUACACUUGACAUGUCUGGAAUCCUGUAGAGAUACGGGAGUGCUCGAAAGAGAAUCAGAACACAGGUGCUGCAUGGCUGUCGUCAGCUCGUGCCG